rnacentral:lncRNA from 1 species
AGAGGCUCAGAUCUGCAAAGAGAUCAGGACGAAAGAGAGGCGACCACGCCAUGGCUGCAAAAUCAUCAACCAUCUGGUGAUUUGCUAAGCCAAGAUACGGAUCUGAUAGUCUCCAUCACCGCCUCUAAUUUUAUGCAAAAUCAACCAACAUACAUGCAGAGAGUAACAGAGACAAAAAAGACCAGAUUAUUGGCAAGUUGAGGAAUAUAGUAGUAUAUGUAUAUUUGCCAUUUCAAUGAUCCAGUAAUUUCCCAGAAAUUAACAUGAAUCCAAGGGUUGUUGCUUCUUCUUUUUUGGGGAAAAAUCAUUGGCUAAACAAGAGAGGGGCAACCACCCUUGUUAACAAAAUUCCUAAACUCUCUGUUUUGCCUCUUUUUUUUGUUUUUGUUUUCUGGGAUAACUUUUUCUUUGCUGGAAAAGUUGUUUGGUUCUCAAUACACACUUUUUUUAACAAUAAUCUAAAAGACAUUCAUAACCUCUGCUUCAAAGUUCUUGAGAGAAAAGGAGCUUGAUACAUGGCUAGAUGCCAAGAAGUUCCCUUCACAUACAUCAAGCCUUUUCAAAGUUUUCUUCACAGGAUGGUGCAAGAACAAGAAAUCAUCGCGCCACAAGAACAACACCUCUCCAUCAUCCAAAACUUUCAACAGAUUAAUCAUUUCAUAGCACAACCAAUAAUUGUUGCAUUCAGGAGAAAUGUUUAUCACAAUCUGUUUAACCCAUGAAUCAGUAACUCCGUAUUCUUUCAUCACCCAUACCUCAAAAUGAGUAUCUGCAUUAUUAUCACACACACAUAAACAACGUCCAAACUUCGUAAAUUUGGACAAUUUUCCUUACUGUACCCUGGAGCAGCAGUUGGGAAUGAUUCAAACAACUCAUUCUCCAAAUUAAACGAACAUAUUAACUCAUUUUGAUUAGCAUCAGAAACCAACCAAUGAAGUUUUCCAUAUAGAUUCACCCUGUAUGCCCUGCAUCCAAAACAGAACAUGAUAUGUUCUACACUAUUUCUCCAAUACCCUUUCCCAAUUGUGUAAACUUGAGCUUCAGACUUGUAAUAACGAAAACCAUUAGUAUCAUCAUCGUGAAUCUCCUCUUGGUAAAUUCUUACCACUUUGUACUCAAACCUAACAGGAUCGAAACCAAAGCCAUAAGUAACUAAAUUAGGCCAUUUUCGUACCCCUUGUGGCUGAGGAAUGAUGAUAUAUUCUCUGGUUGUUGGAUUGAGGAUGUAAAUACUAUCGACAUCACCGAAAAAGUUAUUAAAACAAACGAAACCAUGAACCGAUCCAACGAGGAAAAAUCGAUCAAUAGGAAAGUAAAGUUGUAGAUCAAUGUCAUCAAUUGGAUCAUGAUCAAAGUUAUCGACUACGAAUUUCAAAAACUUUAAGGUGUUGGUCCUAGGAGUUGUCCUAUUAGAGUGGAAUUGGUUGAUGAUGAUGCUGGCUGGAGAUGCUGAACGUGACAGUUUUGUAAAUUCGGAAUCUAAGGUUAGAUUUAGAAAAGAUUUGGAGAGGGUUUUGACAUAUAGGAGUGUGGUAGGAGGUAAUGUAGAGAGAAUUUGUAACAAGAUUGGAGAUGGAAGAUCCAUCAGGGAUGUUGCUUCUUCACUCAUUUCUUACAAAAGUCUUAGCGCUGAUAUUUUGCUAUUUAUAGCAAGUGGCUCGGUGAGUUUGAUCAUAAAAAUUAUUCAUAUUUGUUUUCUAACUUUAUUUAAAAAUCACUAUUUGAUUAUGAUUUUUCAACUCUAAUCUUCUAUAUUUAACUAUAAUAUUCAAACAGUUUUCCGGUCAAACUUGGACAACACGCAUUCAGUAUUAAAGGUAAACAGUUAUGUUUUGGCAACAUGACAAGAGUAAAGCGCAAGCAUAUUUGAAAUUAAAAAACUAUUAAAUAUUGUCUUUAAUUUGACUAUCGAUUAAAUAAAAAGAGAAUGUUAGCAACUUAUUUGCAAGCAAAGCUCAUUUAUUAAUUUCCAAUUAGCUUAAGUUUCCAUCAAGAGUACGUUCAGGUAAGGGAAUGCACCAAGCUCAAAAAAAGGAUCUUUAGCCCCAUUUCUCGUUGUUUUUCUGAGUUCAUCGAUUAUUUUCAAUCUCAUUUCAUUCUCUUAGUAAUUUGAUCUAAAUAUCAUGUCUACGAUCUUUACCUUUCCAAAAAAUGCCUUUAUUCUACAUUAAUGGUAUAAUAAAAUAUAUCUCAUUUGAACUAAUAUAUACAAUUUUAAUAUGAUUUUUAUUAACGAAAAAGUAUAUGAUUACAUAAUUUUUAUUCUUUAUAUAUAUAUAUAUACUAGAUUCACUGCACGUGCGUNNNNNNNNNNNNNNNNNNNNNNNNNNNNNNNNNNNNNNNNNNNNNNNNNNNNNNNNNNNNNNNNNNNNNNNNNNNNNNNNNNNNNNNNNNNNNNNNNNNNAAGUAAUUGUGCACGAAUUAACAGUUUGUCCUCUUAGCUAUGUCGUGUCAUGAACUAUAUGUUCCCUUUUAUUAUUUGAAAUUCAGUGUACCCUGUAUUUGAAUAACUUUAUAUACACAAAAGUAAUGUCUUCUGUGGUAGCUGUCUGGUGUUUUUCAUAUCAUCUCCUCUUCCACCAAACCUAAGAAUUCGUCCAAUAUAAUUUUCAUUAGGAACUGUAUGUUCCCUUUUGUUUUUUCCUGUUUGAUUUCUUACAAUUUUGGUAUUAAUCAAAUCUCACCCAAUACUUUCUUGUAGGCAGUAUUUCUUGUGUAUGUCCCGGUGCAUCAAUCUAGUUGUUCAGUCAUGACCUGCACUUUUUUUGUUGGAAUAGAUAUUCCUCUAGAUAGUGCAAUGUAGAUUUUGCCAUGCGAGAAAUCAUGUUGUGGUAGGUAUACUCCUACAUUUGACAUCGUUUGACCUUUAGCUUUUUUUUAUCAUCAUUGCAAAAACAUAAACGUAUUGGAAAUUGUUUCCGAAUAAAUUUAAAAGGGUAUCCUUCAUUUUCGCGGGGGAAGGGGGGGGGUGAUAGUUGUAUUGUUGGAGUAAACACCUGGUUUGUAGCAUAUUGACAUGUUGUUUUUUCUGUAUGUAUUACAUUUUCGUCAGUGCCUCUACAAAUCAACCAUGUCCCAUUGCAUAAGCCAUUUGAGGGGUCCAAUUUUCUCAACAGCUUGAUGGGUGCAUUUUCUUUCAAAACUAACCUAAUGUAUAAAAUUAACAAAAUUAUCAAUUGUUAUGUAUAUGUAAUCGGGUAAUUCUUUUCUUCUCUUUCGUGCUAUGAAGUAUCACAAUAAGAUAAUUGUAAAAGUUAUGAUGAAUUAGACAACGUACCUAUGCGGCGGAGUCCAUUGGGCGUUAAGGUGUUUAGGUAUAAAUACAAUUCAUAUCUUUACUGAGGUCGAUUCUAUGUAGUCUUGCACACUACAUCCUAGUAAAUAUUUAGCCGCUUCAAAUAGUAUAGCUCGGGCAUGUUGUUCUCCACCACACACUUCAAGUCGUAAGCAGUAUCUGUUUAAAAAGGGGAGUCAUUUUAAAGUUAAAGUUAAUUUGUUUUCUAAUUAGUAAAUGUAGAAUCGAUUUUUUACUAAGUCUAACCUCAUUUCAUAUUCUACAUUCUCAUCGUUGCAAUUGUUACACGAUACAAUAUGUUCUAUAACUUUCACUUUUUUGCUGCACUUUUUGCAAGAUGAAUACCACAACUCAUCUUUAUUGAGUAUGUCUAUAAUUGUUGCUUUGAACUUGUACAAACAAUCCUACACAUCGCCAAUAUAUCAUAUUUGUGAUUAUAUUUUGGAUAUUAAAAUGGUUAUUAUUUUUAGAGAGUGAAAGUGUAGGAUAUAUAGUAUGUACUUGUGAAUCAGCUAUCAAUCAAUCCAUAAUAUAUACCAACGGAACUUCUAUGGCUCUUCCCAUUUCCUUACUUGAUGUUACCAUAAAAUCUUUAUUUUCGGCCUUUAUCAUUUCACGCCUGUAUUUUUGAUGAGAUUAGUUAAUUGUAUCACCCAUUUUGAGUGAGAUGUCCUCGGUGCAAAGGUUUUGAGAACUUAAAAAUUUUAGUAUGCAAUAACCCAUCAAUGAUAAUAGAACAAUUGUGUCCUGUUAUAGGAACUUUAAAAGUAACCUGUACAAUGCAAAAGUAUAGUAUGCACAUUAAUUGUGACAAUCGGGUUUAGAUAACAUUGCAGAACAUAUGUGUGAUUAAUGUAAUGUAUCAGGUCUGUGAAUUUUUGAAAUUGUGGAUUGACAAGACGCUACUCAUGGAAAUAAUAGAUAUUUCAAAAGUGCCUAGCGUGACAAGAGCUUGUUUCAACUUUGAAACAACAACUAUACUCAGUUUAUUAUAAAAACACAAAGUAGUCUGUCAAAUACUUUUAUAGAUUGAGAUUCUAACGUCACAUAAGUCCAGUAUAGGUUUAUCAUCUUUCAUCUUUUCUAGAAAAGCACCGUCAUUUUUUGCAAAAUCUUCUCAUAGAGUAACAGUUGUAUUCUCCAUGCUGGGGCGAAAUGUGAAUACUUCACCAUAUCUCUAUAGUGGUGGUAUUUUACGCAUCUUUAAAACAUACUGCUCAUUUGUAACAACUAUCUCCCGUCUCUUGCUAUAUUUUUUUCAAUGAGAGGAUUCAUUAAAACUAAAACGCAAAUCAAAUCUUAGAAUAGGUAAUGUAAAUUAGUGAUAGCGAUUGCGUAAUGGAGCAUGAAAUUAAAUAACAAUUUUUUUGGAUGAAUAGUUACCUAGAAUAGCACCAUUAGGUAAUUUAUCGACAUAAUCCAAUGAUACAAAACCAACAGAGAAUCUGUGUGUUGAAACCUCAAUGUCAGUCGCCUUUAUGAUUGUGUUAUCUGUAAAUGUCAAUUCAACUUCUUUAUGUACGAAAUAGUAGUUGGGGUUGACGCGUACUAAGCGUCUUUUAGCAAUGUAGUAACUCUUAUUUGGUCUCAAGGAGUCCUUCCAUGUUUCGAUAUGCUUAUUAAAUAGUGUUGCUUGGAUUUUUGUACCUAGUAUUGUGCAAAGGGGUGGGAGUAUAAGUACAAUAAACAUGAACGAUAAAAUAAUAAGGUAAGUAAAUAUGUAAAUGUUAGUACCUCUUCAUUAACUAAUAUUAUUGUUCUGAAAGUCCCUUUAUGCCUUGAAUUCUUGUAAGGUAUUAUUGAACCCCUUCAAAUCACUAAGACUCUCAUCACCGAAUUAACGGACUGUUUUUGUAACUUGUUUAUCGGUACAUUCCAUUUUGCUAGUUCAAUUUCAGUCGUCAUGUGGGCUGGAGCUUGAUGACUACCAUUGGGCGGCAAUGUUAAUUCUAGGCGUUAUUGUGUAUUAGUACCAUUGAUGAGGGCGACAAAUUGUCGAAAUCAACAUGAUUAGGCAGGGAUUUGAUGCAUAAAAGAGGGUAUCAUUAAGAUGUAAAGUGCGGCUAAACUAAGGUUAGAAGUAACAUAUAUAUGUAAAGUAUGUGUUUGAAAUUGCCAGGGUACUGUAUAUGAGCAGGUGAACCAAUAAUAGGCUGUAUAAGUAAUGCUUCACGUUGAGAAACAAAGUUGAUUAGUGGUGUAAAAUAUGUGUUUACAAUUUCCAGGGGACUGUAUGCAAGCAGGUGAACUAAUAAAUAUAUAUUUGCAUUAAUAAAAAUAUUUAUCUCAUAAAAUUAGCUAUUAAAUAAAUAAUAAAAAUUAAACUAAUACAAACUUAGACUGACGUUAUUACAAGACAUAUGAACUUUUCUUUGUCUAAAAUACUGAAAUAUUUAAGAAAUAGUAAAUAAGUUAAACAAAAGGGCAAUGUUUACAUAGUCUAACUAUUUUGAAGAAAACUUUCUAAGAGUCUAAAUCACAUAAGUAUCAUUGAUAAAUAAAGUCAUUCUUUUGUCUUGAGCAUUAAAACAAAUCGUGACAAUUUUCUAAAUUUUGGAAAAAGAUAUUCAGAAGCAUAUAUCUACAUCACAAGAGAAAUUGUUAACAAAAACAAAUGAAUUUAGACUAUAUCAUGUAACUUCAUAUAUUGAAACUGAACGUGACAGUUUUUGUAAAUUUCGGAAUCUAAGGUUAGAUUUAGAAAAGAUUUGGAGACGCUUUUGACGUAUAAGAGUGUGGUAGGAGGUAAUUUAGAUAGAAUUUGUAACAAGAUUGGAGAUGGAAGAUCCAUCAGGGAUGUUGCUUCUUCACUCAUUUCUUACAAAUCUUAGCACUAAUGUUUUGCUUUUUAAAGCGUUUAUUAUAGCAAAGUGGCUUGGUGAUUAAAUUGUUGUAUUUAAGUAUAUUCAAACAUAAGACCAUUAUUCAAUAGUAUGUUUUUUUAAUCAAUUCUACAAUUGUCGAGUUGGUCAAUACUUGUGAAAGAAUUUUCCGGUCAAACUUGUACAAGCGCAAGCAUAUUUGAAAUAAAGAGACUAUUAAAUUGUCAAUGUAUUAGCAACUUAAUUACAAGCAAAACUCAUUCAUUAAUGGAUGUUGAAUUGACUUAAAAUUUGAUCAAACAUAUUUUUAAGUCAAUUUUUAAUUUUUGAAAGUGUUUAACCAAAUAUUAAAAAAAAAAUUAAAAUAAGUUAUAACUAAAAGACUUGAAAGUUCUAUAAAGUUGGUUGUUUUCAACUAUUUUCCGUUUUUAAUAAAUUAUUGGUAUCUUACCUCUUUUAAAUGAAUCAUUUUUUAAUUUCUUGUGUAUGAUUAAUAACUGAACCAAACCCAACUAAAACCAUUAACACAAACCAAUAAACAUAUAAAUUUAACAACUAAUUUAAUUUUUAAUUUUAACCAAUAAUCGACCCAAAUUAAUCUGGGAACACCCCUGCCUAGUACCUACAGUCCUAAUUCUAAACAGAGAAACAGACAUAGGAAAACAAAGUUUUGGAUGAUUUAGAGGCUCAGAUCUGCAAAGAGAUCGGUCGAAAGAGAGGCGACCACGCCAUGGCUGCAAAAUCACCAGUUCUCAGGUGAUUUGCCUAGCCAAGAUACGGAUCGGAUAGUCUCCAUCACCGAUCCAGUUAGCCCAGAAUUCAAAGAAAUCAUCAUCACCGCCUCUAUUUUUAUGCAAAAUCAACCAACAUACAUGCAGAGAGUAACAGAGACAAAAAAAGACCAGAUUAUUGGCAAGUUGAGGGAAUAUAGUAGUAUAUGUAUAUUUGCCAUUUCAAUGAUCCAGUAAUUUCCCAGAAAUUAACAUGAAUCCAAGGGUUGUUGCUUCUUCUUUUUUUGGGAAAAAAGAAAUCAUUGGCUAAACAAGAGAGGGGCAACCACCCUUGUUAACAAAAUUCCUAAACUCUCUGUUUUGCCUCAAUUUUUUUGUUUUCUGGGCUAACUUUUUCUUUGCUGGAAAAGUUGUUUGGUUCUCAACCAAAUAACUUUCCACUUUUUCACUGUGAGUUUUCCUUGUU